UUUGUUAUUGUUACCUAAGUACCUAAGCCAUAAAGCAUACAUAAACGGCACGUAAAAGAUUUUAAGAUAUCUCCGCGAUUUCACGAACGUGCUAGUCAACUAUCUUUCUAGGAAACAUCGGAGGAAGAAACCGGAGAAAAAAGCGGUGCAUUGUUUCUCUGUCGGGCCGAGGGCCCGAUUUAAGGGUAUAUAGGGAACGAGGAUUAUAGGUUAUUGUUUAGACAAAGACUCUUAACCUCGAAACACGCACGACACCUGGAAAAAGUAUAAAUAAUCGAGAAGAGGGAUACCAUAUUGUGUUGCUUCUUGGUCCAUUAGUCUUUAAUAGGUUGAUCUCCCAACUAAUAAGAACAUCAUGGAACACGCCGCAAGCAACUUUAACCUCAUGUCCCAUUAUGGUUACCAUUCUGGAAAGAGACAAACGAUUAUAAGAGGAAAACUUCACCUUGUCCAUUUGUUCUUCAAAAUGUUUGUUUAUAGUUUGGUCACAGGUCAGAGACAAGAUAACACAAUUAAAUACGAUGAGUCACGAUAAAGGUUGCUAGCUAUUUUUAUGGGGGCAACAUGCGCGACUCAGCCAGGUCUAUUAGUCAUGUCUGGACGUACGUUUUUUCCUCGAACAACUUGUUCGGUGCUUGCAGUAUGUUUGACAGUUGCUAUGGAACAUUUCAUACACCGAAUAAAGAAAAGUUAUUUAUGUCGAUCGCGAUAAAAAAGAAAUAUAUUAUGGAAGCUUUUUACCAUCACACUAUUUCGUUAACAAAAAGUUAGAUGUUAGUUGAGAUAAAAGAAAAAUACCAUGGAAAUUUAUUACCAACACGCUGUUUUGUUAAUAAAAACUUAGAUGUUUCUUUAAACAUAA